UUCUUGAUCGUAUAACGGUUAGUAUGCUCGCUUGUCACUGCAACUCGCGGGAGAUCGGAGUUCGAUUCUCCGUCAGGAAG
rnacentral:tRNA from 1 species